rnacentral:sRNA from 1 species
CCCAGAGGUAUUGAUAGGUGGUAUCGGCACUGUUGAUGUCGAUAACUGUAGUUACACCAGCCUGCGCGGAUGCGCAGGUUUUUUUU